UACAGAGGUCCCAAGCGUUGUUCGGAUUCACUGGGCGUAAAGGGUGCGUAGGCGGCCGGGUAAGUCUGAUGUGAAAUCCCGCAGCUCAACUGCGGAACUGCAUCGGAUACUCUCCGGCUAGAGGAAUGGAGGGGAGACUGGAAUUCUCGGUGUAUCAGUGAAAUGCGUAGAUAUCGAGAGGAACACCAGUGGCGAAGGCGAGUCUCUGGACAUUUCCUAACGCUGAGGCACGAAAGCCAGGGGAGCAAACGGG
rnacentral:rRNA from 1 species